UACGUAGGGGGCAAGCGUUGUCCGGAAUCAUUGGGCGUAAAGAGCGUGUAGGCGGCUUGGCAAGUCUGGGGUGAAAUCUUUCGGCCCAACCGGAAAAGUGCCUUGGAUACUGGCGGCCUGGAGGGAGGCAGGGGCGGAUGGAACUUCCGGUGGAGCGGUGAAAUGCGUUGAUAUCGGAAGGAACGCCGGUGGCGAAAGCGAUCCGCUGGACCUCUUCUGACGCUGAGGCGCGAAAGCCAGGGGAGCAAACGGG
rnacentral:rRNA from 1 species